UACGGGGGGGGCAAGCGCUGUUCGGAAUUACUGGGCGUAAAGGGCUUGUAGGUGGCCAACUAAGUCAGACGUGAAAUCCCUCGGCUUAACCGGGGAACUGCGUCUGAUACUGGAUGGCUUGAGUGUGGGAGAGGGAUGCGGAAUUCCAGGUGUAGCGGUGAAAUGCGUAGAUAUCUGGAGGAACACCGGUGGCGAAGGCGGCAUCCUGGACCAUUACUGACACUGAAAAGCGAAAGCCAGGGGAGCAAACGGG
rnacentral:rRNA from 1 species